rnacentral:rRNA from 1 species
GACGAACGCUGGCGGCGUGCCUAAUACAUGCAAGUCGAACGCAGUGGGGACGGUUUAGUAACACGUGGGUAACCUCCCAUCAGAGGGGAUAACACUUCGAAAAAGGCGCUAAACCGCUACUGAUGGCUGGACCCGCGGUGGAUUAGCUAGUUGGUGAGGUAACGGCGAACAAAGGCCACGAUGCCUAGCCGAGCUGAGAGGGUGAUCGGCCACACGGGGACUGAGACACGGCCCAGACUCCUACGGGAGGCAGCAGUGGGGAAGAUUCGGCAAUGGGCGAAAGUCGGACCGAGCAACGCCGCGUGAGUGAAGAAGGUUUUCGGGUCGUAAAGCUCUGUUGUUAGAGAAGCGGUAUCUAACCAGAAAGCCACGGCUAACUACGUGCCAGCAGCCGCGGUAAUUC